AAGUCAAAGCUUCCUAGUGACUUUGUCACCCAGUGUCCACCAGGGGACCCAAGACACUCAAGCUAUUUAAGCAGAGAUGAUUUCAUGAUAAAAGGCGGAGUAGUGUGGACAAGAACUUCUUGCCAGGAAGCUGUCUACAUAGGUUGAAUUGACUGAUUAAAACUUCAGUGAUAGGAGAAGUUGGAGUGUUGCAGUUCCAGAGUCUAAUUACAGUUUAUCGGAGGGUGAUCUUUAACCUACUAAAUAGCCAUUCCUUGUCCCAAUCUCUGUAUCUGAGCAAACAUCCUGCUGUUGGCUAGAACUGACAAUCUGACAAAAGGUAAAAACCUUUUGGAGUCUAUUAACUUAAAAAAAAAAGAAAGAAAGAAAAGAAAAGACCUAGUUCUCCACCAACUACUCUAUCCAUGUUGCCAGCUAGCAUCCAAGGCUAUAGCAGAGUCCCCCUUCUAGCUCCAUCCCUAGGACAUACAUGGUGAAAGGCAGAACUAACUCCUGAAAGUUUUCCUCACUUCUUCACAUGCACCGUGGCACCAAUCCCCCCCCCAAUCAAUCAAUCAAUAUAUUUUUUUAAUUAAAUAAAGAAAACUGUCGCAUCAGCAAGCUAAAAACUGUCGGAGGUAACAUCAGAAGUAAAAACAGGACCCCUCCCCUUUUUUUCAGUCAACUUACAUCUCUCUAUGGAGAGAUGCAGUGAUGCUCUAGUCUCAAUUCUAACUGGGGCUCGAACUCGCCUCUCUCAUGUCUCCGCUAAUAUAUUUUUUAAGUGCCUUGAUUUAUAACUUUCUUUGUUCUAUUACCAUGAAACUGCUUUCACAUUGGAGAGAUCUAAGUCUAUGUUCCUGAGCCAUGGUCACUAAUACUUUUCUUCAGACUAAACCACGUCUUUUUUUUUUUCCUUUGAGGUGAGAGCUAUUGUGUCAGCACCAGUAGCUAACUAACUAGAGUGGGCAAAGUCGUGUAUUCUUCUAAUUCCAGCAAUCAGGAUACAGUCAGAAGGAUCUCAGGUGCAAGGCCAGCUUGGACUACACAGUGAUUUCAAAGCUAGCUGGAGUUUUGUAAUUGAGCCUGUCUCCAAAAUAAGACAAGACCCCAAGGACUGCAGAGGUAGCUCAUCUUUUGCGUGCUAUGCAGUGCUACAGCCACUCUCCAAUACAGAGGCAAAAUUUGAGGUGUGUGUGUAUGGGGGGGCAUUAAGGGAUAGGGCUAGAAUGUGGCUCAGUGAGUAAAGUGCCUGGAUCCCCAUGACCCAUGUUAAAGCUGGCUGUGGUGGUGCAUGUCUGUAAUCUUAGUGUUAAGAGUUCUGGAUGGAGAUUGGCGGUUCCUGGGGUCUUAUUGCCCAGCGGGUCUGGCCAAAUUGGUAAACUCCAGGUUCAAUGAGAGCCUGUGUUCAAAAAAUUAGGUAGAGGGUAGAGCAGAUAGCUCAAUUGGUAAAGGCGGUCAGUUGUUGUUUAAGUUGAGGACAUAAGUUUAAACCCCACAAACCCAAUUAGAAACUGGGUGCUGCUGUAUGGAGAGAGGGGAAGGAGAGACAAGAUAACCGCUGCACACUCGUGGGCCAGCUAGCCUGGCAAAAUGGCAAUGAAAAAUUAAUGAAGAGACCCUGUCUCAAACAAGAUAGGAGAGGACUGACACCAGACAUUGUUCUCUAACUUUUAUGUGAGCACUCGCGCACACGCACAUGCACACACACAGAGAGAGAGAGAGAGAGAGAGAGAGAGAGAGAGAGAGAGAGAGAGAGAGAGAGAGAAGAGCUGAGAAAGCAGGAAGAGAACAUUAAAAUAUUAAAAGGAUGGCAGCUGCUGAAAGUAGUUCCCUCUCCUAGCACUAAAGUCAAGGUUAUAGAGCUCCUGAGGAGCGGUGCCUACGGAGAGGUCCUGGCAUCUCCAAUGGGAAAGAAUGAAGCUGGCUGUAUAUGUGUUGGAAAAUCUGGGCAUUAAAUUCAGUUGUCAUUACUGCAAGAAGCUGCUGCUGCCUGAGGGAAGUGGUCAAUGGGGGAAGACUCUCUGCAGGAACAGGAAUCAAAGGAAGUAGAAAGUUCCUGUUUAUCCCCCAAAGGACUCCAUCCUUCUUCCCGACCCCUAAAGGACCCACAGGCAAUGACUAUCAGGGAAGCAGCUGGCAAAUAUGCUCUGCAUCCCUGGUCUGACAUCAUCAAACCAUCCAAAGCCCACAGCUGAGAGGAUGAUGCCCUCCCACACUGGUGAUGACAGACCCUCUUCACCAGGUAUAUUGAUGCAAAUCUCAUCUGAAAACACCGUCACACGGCACAGCAUUCUGGAAUCUGCAACUCCAGGAUCCGGACAGAUUUGCUGCCUGACCAUGCCCACUUCCUAGUUCACAGAAGCAAGUAGAGGAACACAAAAACUUUGAAGACUACAAUUGCUGAAGUAAAGAACUUGAGCUUAUGAUGUGAACCAGGUGGUCACUUAAUCAUCAAGCCUGUUUGUGCAAGUUUAUUUAACGAAAGACCUCUAAUGGAAACUCUGGGCCCAGAGCUUGGAGAAUGUUCCAGGCCAGCAAUCUUCUAGCACAUCACCUCACAUUGGUGCUAGAAGACUAAUGCCUUCUGACCUCUGUCAAGGAAAAACACAACCCUUUCUCCAAAGAGAGUACCAUGUCACUGUGUCCUCUGAAUUGAAACAUCCUGGAGGGAGGAAGGAUGCUGGUAAGAUCCAGGAAGUGAAGUGAACUUGUAAGACUUUUGAAGCUCAGAAAAUGAUGAGACUAGAAGGCUCUUCCUUUAGCUUAUAGAAGCAGUAAUCAGGAAAACUGCUGGUGAAGAGGAGACACUUUUGGAGAACCACCUGCAAGUUGAGCAGGGAGCUCCCGGCAUACAGAUUUUUAUGAAUCAUCGCCCACACUAGGGUGAGGUUUUACAGUCUUGUGGCCCCCAGGGAUUCACCAAGCUCCUGUAACUCCUCAUCUAUGUUCCCAUAAAUAACUCCAAAGAAACCCGUUGUCUCACCAAGCUAGGCUUGUGUGGAAUUUGGUCUGUUCACACUCUAUCUGGGGGACCGGUGUUCAUGCAUGUCUUCCCAGGAAGAGUUUUGCAACAGAAAAUAAAAACAAGGUCUAAAGGGUCAUGACUUGGAAACAAGGGUAGAGGUUGAUCUGAAUGGCAUGUAUGUUCCAGUUGUGGAAGAGAUAACAUGGUUUCUAGUAGUCCCCAAACAAAAGGAAGUUAAUAAACAAUUAUAUUUACCAAAGUGUUGGUGAAAAUAUUCUAUAGGUUUCUAUUCUAUAGGUUGUCCAUGCUGUCUUGUAAAAUUCUUAGCUCUGGGUCUAUGAAAACAUAUACUGCUAAGUUAAAAUUUUUUCCAGGCUUUUACCUAAUAGUCACAAAGAUGCUAGGUAUCAUGCCUAAGUUAGUAAUGAAUGGCUAUGAAGGGAAAGCAAGAUUUUUUUUCUCAAUCUGCAACAUUCCAUCUCUCCCUAAUCACUGCCAGUCUGUAGAAUCUUCAACACAGAUGUGGCCUUGUCAGGGAAUUUUGGUUCACAUCACAGAGAAGUCGACAGAAUGGCUGCGAUUUGUGCUCUUUCCAUCUCAACUUGGUGUGCUUCUGUGGCCAAUUCUUGUUCGCAUCCUUCCCCAUGAUAAACUGUGCUCUAUGAGCUUUCUAGCAAAUAUUAAACCUCACAUUGGUUUCAAGAACCCCCUAAAUUUGCCAUUGGUGUUGAGUGAAGGAAAUUUUGUGUGAACUGAACAUCUCUCUGUGUCAUGACACUCCUGUUUCUUUCAGGCCUAUCUUAGAAAGAAUUAGCUACAAAUUCUUAAAAAAAAAAUAAACAAAAUAAUGAGAUCUACUUUUGGAAAGUGAAAUACAGCAUCUUAGGUUCAUCAUAUGCCUUUAAAUCUAUAAAUAGCAUCAUUAGUUGCUGUGGAACCAGCUACACACUGUUAAGCAAAGGAAAACUAAUAAGUAGCCAGAAACCAAAGCUGGCUCAUUCACAAAGUCAAUAAAGCUGAUAAACUUGGGACUGGAUUGAGCUGAACAAAACUGCAGAAGGCAUAAUAUAUAUAUUCAACAUAAAGGCUUAGUAAACUUAGCAGGGAAAGACGAUUGCUGUGGCUGAAGUGUGGCACGUCCCCCAUAGGCUCCCGUGUGUAAACACUUGGCCCACAAACAGUGGUGCUGUUUUAGAAGGUUGUGACACCUUCCAGAAGUGUGACCUUACUGAAGGAAGUUGGUCAUUAGGGGUGAGCCUUGACAUAGGAUGCCCCGAAUCCACCUCCUGUCUAUGUCCAGGACAGGACUGACUCAUACGUCCAUUUAGGACUUCUUGACAGCGGGCAUAUCUGAUCAGCUGUGUUGUGCAUGUUUCGGCCACUGAGUUCUGA